GACGAACGCUGGCGGCGCGCUUAACACAUGCAAGUCGAGCGAAGCGGCGGAGGGGUGAGUAACACGCGAGUAACCUGCCUUAGACAUUGGAAUAGCCUCGGGAAACCGGGAUUAAUACCAAAUGGUCUAAGAUGGACUCGCGUCGCAUUAGCUAGUUGGUGAGGUAACGGCCCCCCAAGGCGACGAUGGGUAGCCGGCCUGUGAGGGUGAACGGCCACAUUGGAACUGAGAAACGGUCCGAACUAUACGGGAGGAAGCAGUGGGGAAUAUUGCACAAUGGAGGGAACUCUGAUGCAUCGAGGCCGCGUGAACGAAGAAGGCUUUCGAGACGUAAAGUUCUUUUAUAUGGGAAGCGGUACCAUAAGAAAAAGCCCCGGCUAACUACGUGCCAGCCGCCGCGGUAAUAC
rnacentral:rRNA from 1 species